ACGCUCGACACCUACGGGAGGCAGCAGUUGGGAAUAUUGGACAAUGGAGGAAACUCUGAUCCAGUGACGCCGCGUGAAGGAAGAAGGUCUUCGGAUUGUAAACUUAUUUUGUCAGGGAAGAAAAAUGACUGUACCUGAAGAAAAAGCACCGGCUAACUACGUGCCACAGCCGCGGUAAUCUGAGCGGGCUGCAAGGC
rnacentral:rRNA from 1 species